GACGAACGCUGGCGGCGUGCUUAACACAUGCAAGUCGAACGGAAAGGCCCUGCUUUUGUGGGGUGCUCGAGUGGCGAACGGGUGAGUAACACGUGAGUAACCUGCCCUUGACUUUGGGAUAACUUCAGGAAACUGGGGCUAAUACCGGAUAGGAGCUCCUGCUGCAUGGUGGGGGUUGGAAAGUUUCGGCGGUUGGGGAUGGACUCGCGGCUUAUCAGCUUGUUGGUGGGGUAGUGGCUUACCAAGGCUUUGACGGGUAGCCGGCCUGAGAGGGUGACCGGCCACAUUGGGACUGAGGUACGGCCCAGACUCCAACGGGAGGCAGCAGGGGGGAAUAUUGCACAAUGGGCGGAAGCCUGAUGCAGCAACGCCGCGAGCGGGAUGACGGCCUUCGGGUGGUAAACCGCUUUCGCCUGUGACGAAGCGUGAGUGACGGUAAUGGGUAAAGAAGCACCGGCUAACUACGUG
rnacentral:rRNA from 1 species